AUUGAACGCUGGCGGCGUGCCUAAUACAUGCAAGUCGAACGCAGUGGGGACGGGUGAGGAACACGUGGGUAACCUCCCAUCAGAGGGGAUAACACUUGGAAACAGGUGCUAAACCGAUACUGUUGGAUGAACCCGCGGGGAAUUAGCUAGUUGGUGGGGUAACGGCUCACCAAGGCCACGAUGCAUAGCGGACCUGAGAGGAUGAUCGGCCACACUGGAACUGAGACACGGCCCAGACUCCUACGGGAGGCAGCAGUAGGGAAUCUUCGGCAAUGGACGAAAGUCUGACCGAGCAACGCCGCGUGAGUGAAGAAGGUUUUCGGAUCGUAAAACUCUGUUGUUAGAGAAGCGGUAUCUGACCAGAAAGCCACGGCUAACUACGUGCCAGCAGCCGCGGUAAUAC
rnacentral:rRNA from 1 species